rnacentral:rRNA from 1 species
CCUACGGGUGGCAGCAGUGAGGAAUAUUGGUCAAUGGACGCAAGUCUGAACCAGCCAUGCCGCGUGCAUGAAGACGGCUCUAUGAUUUGUAAACUGCUUUUGUGCGAUGGUAAACGCUGAUACUCAUAUCUGUCUCAAAUUAUCUUACGAGUAAGGGUCGGCUAACUCCGUGCCAGCAGCCGCGCUAAGACGGGGGAUUCAAGCGUGAUGCGGAUUUACUGGGCUUAAAGGGAGCGCAGGCGGUCGGCUAAGUUAGAGGUGAAAUCCCCGGGCUCAACCUCGGAACUGCAUCUGAUACUGUCAGGCUAGAGAGUAGUUGCGGUAGGUAGAAUGUAUGGUGUAGCGGUGAAAUGCUUAGAGAUCAUACAGAACACCGAUUGCGAAGGCAGCUCACCAAGCUACGUCUGACGUUGAGGUACGAAAGCGUGGGGAGCAAACAGGAUUAGAUACCCUUGUAGUC